UUUACGUGGCUAAGUGGAUAACAUGAUGGGGUCUGAAGCGAACGGUACUGGGUUCGAGUCCCAGAGUGGACA
rnacentral:tRNA from 1 species